rnacentral:rRNA from 1 species
GUGCCAGCAGCCGCGGUAAGACAGAGGUGGCGACCGUUGUUCGGAAUCACUGGGCAUAAAGCGCGUGUAGGCGGCAUCGUAAGUCGGGUGUGAAAUCCCUCGGCCCAACCGAGGAAUUGCGCCCGAAACUACCUUGCUUGAGGACCAGAGGGGAGCCUGGAAUUCCUGGUGGAGCGGUGAAAUGCGUUGAUAUCAGGAGGAACACCGGCGGCGAAGGCGAGGCUCUGGCUGGUUACUGACGCUGAGACGCGAAAGCUAGGGGAGCAAACGGGAUUAGAAACCCGCGUAGUCC